AUGGUGCUCGCCGCCCUCGCCCAGCUGCUGGCGAGCAAUGAAAAGCCGCGGCGAGGUGGCUCGGCUCCGGGGCGGGUGAAAGCAAAGAACUGGCAUCGUCUCGAAGGCUACUGCAUGCAUUGGAAAUGGAAGAAUUGCCCAUUUGCUUGGCAGGGGAUGUACAAAGGUGCCAAAGGCGGUUGCAGUGUGGUACUUGAGGCGGUGGCCACACGGGACCUCUGGAUUUGGCACUCCUUCUUUGGUAUGCCAGGAACUCACAAUAACAUCAACGUGCUGCAGUGCUCUCCUGUCUUUGCCAAGCUUGUUGAAGGUUAUUCUCCUCCGGUGAACUUCGAGAUCAAUCGGCGGCACUACAACAAGGGGUACUAUCUAGCUGAUGGCAUCUAUCCGAGAUGGUCGACAUUUGUGAAGACGAUCUCAAACCCUGUGCCAGGAGGCAAGAACGCCUGGUUUGCGAAGAUUCAGGAGGCUUGCAGGAAGGAUGUCGAGCGGGCAUUUGGUGUGCUCCAAUCUCGAUUUGCUGUUGUCCGGUAUCCCGCUCAGACCUGA
rnacentral:rRNA from 1 species